GAGACCCAGCUGGUACGACCUCAAGAAGUAAGGGGCUCUGGAUCAUGGAGUUGUCACCCUAAAACAGAGGUGAUAAAUCCUUCCUCUCAGGGAUGAGUUCUCACUGUGUUGCCUGGACUGGUCUCGAAAUCCUGACCUUAAGUAAUGCUUCUGCCUUGGCCUCCCAAAAUGCUGAAAUUACAGGCGUGAGCCAUCAUUCCCAGCCCAGCAGUCUUCAUCUUAAGAAGAAAGCUGCCCAGCAUCAGAGGGGUCAGGUUCCCUUCUAAACAGAAUAUGAUAAUGCUGGCCUGCCAAAACUACAGCUUCCCCUUUAGGAAAGAACUAUGGCAAUUCCAGAGUUCACAACUGCAUUCAGACCUGGCCUACAGAGCAUCUCACACUCACUGUGCUUGUGACAUUCCCUUGUACCAGGCCCUCCACAAAGAGCUGGGAUUUGAAUUCUUUGACGAAGCUCAGCAGAGACUCAAGGGAAAGGCCGUCCAUCAAAGCCUGGUACUUGUCAAUCAUAGACCAACGGGCAUAUUCCAAGAUUAAAAGCCGUACAUCUCUGUACAGAGGGCAGAAAAAAAACACUCAAAGUUUUGUUAUUAGAAAUGAAUCUUCAGAAUAAAGAAAUGUUUGGUCAAAGUUCUAUAAAGGAUGUGUUUCUAAAGAGAGACCAUUUUUAUCACAAUGUAAGAUGGGAAAACAGUAUCAGAUUAACCAAAAAAGUACUGAAAACCACAUACACAAACUUUAAACAAAUUUACUUAGCAGUACAAAAAUGCACUUACCUGUCUCAGUUGCAGGGUAAAAUAUUUCACAUAAAAGUAAAGCUGCCAGAUGAGUCAAGUUUACUUAGUUGUACACUGAUUUAAAAUUAUUACUAUUUUGGUUUGAAAUCUCACUAAUAUUUCAUUAAUUACUAGAAGCCAUCAUUUGGGAUAUCUAUUACUGCAGUGACAAUAUAAUACAGGUAACGGCUCUGGUCCAGAAUCAGAUUAACUUCAUCCCCCAUUUCCACAACCCCACCCCAAAUAAGCUGUUUGAAUUUGACAAAUCUACUAACAUCUAUGAUUCAAUUUCUUCAUUUGUAAAACAGGGGAAGUAUUCGUGAGAGGUAACCGUUUUGGAUAGAAUUGAAUUAAUGAAUUUAUAUAACAGUUCUUAGAUCUAGCACAAAAAUCUUCAACAAACAGGUUUAUUAUUAUUCUUUUAUAAAGUAAAUUUCAGGAGUUGAAUUUUAAUAAAAUAGAAGGUUGUGUUUAAUAAUGUAUUUUUAUAAAUAAAUAAAGUAGUAUUCAUGAGUUA
rnacentral:lncRNA from 10 species